GUCGAGCCUAGGGCGGCCACCCGAAAACCGGACACCUUCACCGGCUGGCUCGGCGCUCUUCGUGAAGG
ncrna:Burkholderia cenocepacia AT 1054 int-alpA RNA